GAUGAACGCUGGCGGCGUGCCUAAUACAUGCAAGUCGAGCGAACAGACGAGGAGCUUGCUCCUCUGACGGUAGCGGCGGACGGGUGAGUAACACGUGGAUAACCUACCUAUAAGACUGGGAUAACUUCGGGAAACCGGAGCUAAUACCGGAUAACAUGUUGAACCGCAUGGUUCAACAGUGAAAGACGGUCUUGCUGUCACUUAUAGAUGGAUCCGCGCCGCAUUAGCUAGUUGGUAAGGUAACGGCUGACCAAGGCAACGAUGCGUAGCCGACCUGAGAGGGUGAUCGGCCCGACUUGAAAUGAGACACGGUCCAGACUCCUACGAGAGGCAGCAGUAGGGAAUCUUCCGCGAUGGGCGAAAGCAUGACGGACCAACGCCGCGUGAGUGAAGAAGGUCUUCGGAGCGUAAAACUCUGUUAUUAGGGAAGAACAAAUGUGUAAGUAACUAUGAACGUCUUGACGGUACCUAAUCAGAAAGCCACGGCUAACUACGUG
rnacentral:rRNA from 1 species